GGGCUCGUAGCUCAGCUGGGAGAGCGAGUGGCCCGUAAAGCAACGCAAAAAUCCGAGAUUUUUCGGGUGCCCAGAAAGAAGAAACAGACGAGGUCGAGGGUUCGAUCCCCUUCGAGUCCACCA
rnacentral:tRNA from 1 species